UACGGAGGGUGCGAGCGUUGUCCGGAAUCAUUGGGCGUAAAGGGUGCGUAGGCGGCGCGGUAAGUCGGGUGUGAAAUCUCGGGGCUUAACUCCGAAACUGCAUUCGAUACUGCCGUGCUUGAGGACUGGAGAGGAGACUGGAAUUUACGGUGUAGCGGUGAAAUGCGUAGAUAUCGUAAGGAAGACCAGUGGCGAAGGCGAGUCUCUGGACAGUUACUGACGCUGAGGCACGAAGGCCAGGGGAGCAAACGGG
rnacentral:rRNA from 1 species